rnacentral:rRNA from 1 species
CAGCAGAUUGGGAUGGUUGAGUAUCUCGCCUCUCCGUUCUGCCUGUAUUCUACCCUUGUUUGUCAUAUACUAUUAUUUCCUCGGCAGGCUUGCCUGCCGAGUGAAACCAUUUAUAACCUUUUUAAUUUUCAAUCAGCGUCUGAAAAAAUUAAUAAUUACAACUUUCAACAACGGAUCUCUUGGUUCUGGCAUCGAUGAAGAACGCAGCGAAAUGCGAUAAGUAGUGUGAAUUGCAGAAUUCAGUGAAUCAUCGAAUCUUUGAACGCACAUUGCGCCCCUUGGUAUUCCAUGGGGCAUGCCUGUUCGAGCGUCAUUUGUACCUUCAAGCUUUGCUUGGUGUUGGGUGUUUGUCCCGAGGGACUCGCCUUAAAGUAAUUGGCAGCCAGUGUUUGGUUUUGAAGCGCAGCACAAGUCGCGAUUCAAGGCUACACGCCCGCUUCCACAAGCCUUUUUCACUUUUGACCUCGGAUCAGGUAGGGAUACCCGCUGAACUUAAGCAUAUCAAUAAGCGGAGGAAA